rnacentral:rRNA from 1 species
GGGUCAGUAGGAUGGUCGUGCCACCGGUACGUACUGGUCUCACUGAUUCCUCCUUCCUGAAGAACCGUAAUGCCAUUAAUUUGGUGUUGCGGGGAAACAGGACUGUUACUUUGAAAAAAUUAGAGUGUUUAAAGCAAGCUAACGCUUGAAUACAUUAGCAUGGAAUAAUGAAAUAGGACGAUCGAUCCUAUUUUAUUGGUUUCUAGGAUUGACGUA